rnacentral:rRNA from 1 species
UACGGAGGGGACUAGCGUUGUUCGGAAUUACUGGGCGUAAAGCGCACGUAGGCGGAUUCGUAAGUCAGGGGUGAAAUCCCGGGGCUCAACCUCGGAACUGCCUUUGAUACUGCGGGUCUUGAGUCCGAUAGAGGUGGGUGGAAUUCCUAGUGUAGAGGUGAAAUUCGUAGAUAUUAGGAAGAACACCGGUGGCGAAGGCGGCCCACUGGAUCGGUACUGACGCUGAGGUGCGAAAGCGUGGGGAGCAAACAGG